CCAAAAUAAACAAACAUCGUGAUAGGAUGUGACACAUCAUAGUAACGAGUCUGAACACGUAGAAUAUCCAGAUUCGUUGUAUUAGGAUGUGUCACAAUUUAGUAUGAGGUUGGUUUAUUUUGG
rnacentral:pre_miRNA from 1 species